ensembl:misc_RNA Metazoa_SRP Metazoan signal recognition particle RNA
GUCAUGGAGGUGGUGCCCACCACCUGUAGUCCCAGCUACUCAGGAGGCUGAGGCAGGAGAGCACUUGAGCCCAGGAGUUCCAGGUUGUAGUGUGCUGUGCUGAUUGGGCAUUCACACUAAGUUCAGCAUCAGUAUGGUGAACUCCCAGGAGUGGGGCGCCAGCAGGUUGCCUAAAGAGGGAUGAACUGGCCCAGGUCAGAAACGGAGCAGGUCCAAACUCCUGUGCUGAACAGUAACGGUAUCACUGCACCUGUGAAGAGCCAGUGCACUGCAGCCUUGGCAACAUAGUGAGACCCCUUUUCU